AGCAGCCGCGGUAAUUCCAGCUCCAAUAGCGUAUAUUAAAGUUGUUGCAGUUAAAAAGCUCGUAGUUGAAUUUCGGGAUCGAAUUGUUGGUCGUGCUUCGGUACGCACUGGCAUUAUUGGUUCCUACCUUCUGAAGAACCGCGAUGUCAUUAAUUUGGUGUCGUGGGGAAUCAGGACUGUUACUUUGAAAAAAUUAGAGUGUUUAAAGCAGGCUUACGCUUGAAUACAUUAGCAUGGAAUAAUGAAAUAGGACGUUUGAUUCUAUUUUGUUGGUUCUAUUUUGUUGGUUUCUAGGAUCGACGUAAUGAUUAAUAGGGAUAGUUGGGGGCAUUAGUAUUCAAUUGUCAGAGGUGAAAUUCUUGGAUUUAUUGAAGACUAACUACUGCGAAAGCAUUUGCCAAGGAUGUUUUCAUUAAUCAAGAACGAAAGUUAGGGGAUCGAAGACGAUCAGAUACCGUCGUAGUCUUAACCAUAAACUAUGCCGACUAGGGAUCGGAUGAUGUUAAUUUUUUAAUGACUCAUUCGGCGCCUUACG
rnacentral:rRNA from 1 species